rnacentral:misc_RNA from 1 species
AGAUGUUCCACCAGACAAAGCAAAAGAGUAUCUACUGAGCAUAAGGGGCUUGGGUCUAAAGAGCGUGGAGUGUGUGAGACUUUUAACACUUCAUCACCUUGCUUUCCCUGUUGACGUAAAUGUAGGGCGUAUAGCUGUUAGACUAGGAUGGGUGCCCCUGCAGCCAUUGCCUGAGUCACUACAGUUGCAUCUUCUGGAACUGUACCCAAUACUGGAGUCAAUUCAACAGUACCUAUGGCCACGACUCUGCAAGCUUGAUCAAAGAACAUUAUAUGAGCUACAUUAUCAUAUGAUCACCUUUGGGAAGGUCUUCUGUACAAAAAGCAAACCCAAUUGCAAUGCAUGUCCAUUGAGAGGAGAAUGCAGACACUUUGCAAGUGCAUUUGCAAGUGCAAGGCUUGCCCUUCCCGCGCCGGAAGAAAAAAGCAUUGUCAGUGCAACAGAACAGAAAGCCACUAACAACAAUCCAAGGGAAAAUUUCACUCACCUGCCUCUGCCAUUACCUCCGGGUAAUCAACAACCAGUGGAGAAUCAGAAAUUGAUCAAUUCAGCUCCUAUUAUUGAAGUGCCAGCAACACCAGAGCCCAUUGUUGAAGUUCCAUCCACACCUGAGCAAGAGCAAAUAAAAGCACCAGAAAUCGACAUAGAGGACGCUUACUUUGAAGAUACUAAUGAAAUUCCUAUGAUUGAAUUGAAUAUGGCAGAGUUCACUCAAAAUGUAAAGAAGUACGUGGAAAACAAUAUGGAGCUUCAUCAGGUAGAAAUGUCAAAUGCCUUAGUAGCUUUGACUUCAGAAGCUGCAUCAAUUCCCACGCCUAAACUUAAGAAUGUUAGCCGGCUCAGAACUGAACAUCAAGUCUAUGAACUUCCAGAUUCUCAUCCUCUUUUGGAAGGGUUGGACAAAAGAGAACCAGAUGAUCCUUCUUCCUAUCUUCUUGCUAUUUGGACACCGGGUGAAACAGCAAAUUCAAUGCAACCUCCAGAAACUCAGUGCAACUCUCAAGAAUCUGGCGAACUAUGUGAAGAUGAGACUUGUUCCUCAUGCAACAGCAUACGUGAAGCACAAUCUCAAACAGUAAGAGGGACUCUUCUGAUACCAUGCCGAACAGCUACAAGAGGAAGCUUUCCGCUCAAUGGUACAUACUUUCAGGUCAAUGAGGUGUUCGCAGACCAUGACUCCAGCCUUAACCCAAUCAAUGUUCCAAGGGAUUGGCUGUGGAAUCUCCCACGGCGGACUGUCUACUUUGGAACCUCAAUACCAACGAUAUUCAAAGGUGAAAGAACCACUAAACUGAUGGAACUCAUUAGAAAAUUUUGGGAGUAAAAUAACAUUGAAAUUUGUUGUGUUCAUCAGGCUUAAACACAGAAAGUAUCCAACACUGCUUUUGGAGAGGGUUUGUUUGUGUGCGAGGAUUUGAUCAUAAGACACGAGCACCUCGACCGCUAUUGGCAAGGUUCCAUUUUCCAGCCAGCAAGUUAAAUAGGACUAAUGGGAAAACAAAUGAAGACAAAGGAGUAGCCUCCUGAACAUAGCUACCCAAGUACUCAUGCCAAAGCCAAAACAAUCUAACAACAUUCAAUAUCAUGUAGUUCUAUUCCAGUCGGUAAAAAGAAGAUAGGUGUAUCUGGUUAACUUGUAAAUGAGAUAAUAAGUUUUUUUUAGGUUAUGGAGUUUCUUUAGUUAGCAACAAUUUAUUGAAUUAUUCAAUCAGUUUAUUCUCAAUUAGUUCGCUU